CAUGAAAGUCAAAUAGUCACUCUUCAUACCGAUAUCCAUAUAUGAGUGUGUGUGUAUGUGGGUAUACAUACUGUUAUUCAUUCAUGUUUAUUAAACCAGUAAACAUCAUGGAGAUUGCGAAGACUAGAUUACCUAGGGAAAGUUACUCAAUUCUUGUUUUUGUUCCUUAAACUUCUUUCUGAACUAAUGGUCAAUUUUCAAAAUUUCAACUUACUUCUGAUCUUAUAUAACUGCAACUGUUAGAGCACAAUACUCUCAGAGGAAUUGAAGCGACCAUGUCACUAAUGAACCGGAGAUGCACCAUUUCCUGUGUAAUGUCAUGAAAAAGCAUUUCUACAAAAAAAGAAGAGCAUUUGUUACAUUCAGUUGCUAGAUCCAAACCAUCAACCUCACUGCUAUGGAAAGUUCAAAGAGGGAUUCACAUUUUUAGCCAAAUAUGGAAAGCCUUUGGCAUUGGUGAAAAGGUAUUGUUUCUGUGGUAACAUAAUAUUGAAUGUGGAACUCAGGCACAGUUUCUUCACUGAAGUGACAUUGUUGUUUUUUUUUAACAGAGAAAAUGCAACUUAACCGGUAAAGUGAACACAUGUUCACUUGGAAAUAAUGGAAAAUUUAGGAAUGACAUAUGGAAAGCCGAGUGGAAAUAAACACAGCCUAAAGUUAAAGUAACCAGGGCAAGGAAAAGGGACUCCUUUGGGAAGAACAGCUGAUUUAACAUUUUAAAACAAUGCACAGAGGAGAACUGAAGAAAGUCCUAAGAAAAAACAUAAACCAUAAGGACAGCUCUGGAACUGAAUCAUUGAAUUUGCUAAUAUUUUUCUGCAUCAAAGCAAAAUCACUGUAUGAAAAGAUGCUCAUCUAAUGGAAGCAUGAAGGCAAACACCAAAGGAUGAAGAUCUGCCUAAUGAUGAUGUAAAUUCUUGCCCUUGAAUCAAAGGGGGAAAUAAGGUCAUUAAAAAAGCAAGGUCUGAUAUAUCCUGAUACCUAUCUUGGAGUUUAAUAUUUUCUUCAGUUUGACCAAACUGAAA
rnacentral:lncRNA from 1 species